rnacentral:rRNA from 1 species
UACAGAGGUCUCGAGCGUUGUCCGGAAUUACUGGGCGUAAAGAGCUCGUAGGUGGUUUGUCGCGUUGUUCGUGAAAUCUCACGGCUUAACUGUGAGCGUGCGGGCGAUACGGGCAGACUAGAGUACUGCAGGGGAGACUGGAAUUCCUGGUGUAGCGGUGGAAUGCGCAGAUAUCAGGAGGAACACCGGUGGCGAAGGCGGGUCUCUGGGCAGUAACUGACGCUGAGGAGCGAAAGCGUGGGGAGCGAACAGG